rnacentral:snRNA from 1 species
UUCAUCCAAGAGACCAACAAAG